CGGCUUCAGAGUACUCGUAGUGGGUAAUGUGACGGUAGUGAAUUAGCCGAAAGGCAACGAAUUUAUUUGAACUAGAUAGUAAUGUAAGCGAAGAGAAGGUCACGCGUCUGCUAUGAUUGUCGAACAUGAAGAAAAUUUAAAAGUGAAGCUAAAAUGACGAAAUGCGAAGAUCAAAACAUGAACAACAACCAUUAGCAAACUCACCCAGGAUUCCGAGCGAGCACCCAUGACUCUGGAUCAAGGCAAGCAGAUCCUGCGCCAGUUGCUGACAGCUGUACUGGCACCUUUCUGGCAUACUCGGACCACUGGAACAAAGGUUUGUCCGUGUCCUAGUUGAGCACGAUCCGUCGGAACAGGAUUUGUGUUUCAGUGCAGAGACUGUCGGUAGACUGACGAGCUGCGUGGUGAUAGUGGCGGCAGUCGUCCAAUGGCCGAUUCUGCCGAUCUCCGUACUGACCAUCAGCUUCUCUUGCUGGUUGUUGGCCUCCCCGGUCCAGCUGUUCCUUCUCUUUCUGUUGUACUUGCUGCUGCUGGAACUGGCGAAUUUCUUCGCGGCGCUGCCUGUAAAGAGACUUGUGGGACACAUCACCGCUCAUUGCACUGGCAAAAAGCUGCUUCUGCUGCUCGUGAGUCUGAUUGGCGAGCCACUCGGAUGUACUGUUCGUACUGAACUUAUUGACAACACAGCUUCUACUGCCACUAGCAAGGCAUUCAGCUUUUCUCUCUUCAGUCAGUCUAGCUGGGCAAAGCAGCAUUCCAAUGGUGAGGUUGGUUGUGGUGACACUGUGUGUGACGACCCUGGUGUCUGUUGACAUGUGGUGAUGCUUACUGCCAUGAAGGUGGUCUGCCAGCAAUCGCCAUGCAUAGAUGCUAAAUGCACGCAUCAGCAACUGGUAUGAGCGUUGUGUUGUCGUGCUGCGAUGCUGCGCGAGCACUUUGUGAACACCAUCAACUGUAACUUAGGCAUUUGCAAAGUCCUUCGCCGAGCCAUCCAGCAACUACUGGCUAUCCGAGCUCCAGCAGUCGAAAUUGCAGUAUGUGCAGGUAUACACCAUACUCAAGUCUGUGAUGGUGACAGACUUAUCAGGUGGCCUCCUCCAAAGUGGCCGAUCCACCAAGCUUGCUGAAGAAACGCAAUGCAAGCAUCAGGUGAUUUGAUCACAGGACGAGAGAGUAGCUGGUGGACGAUCUCUCCAGUGUUCCUCCUUGUUCGGAGCAGCGCCGAGUGCUGACGUUUGGGAUUGGGUACGUUAUGCUCGGUCGGCCUUGGCCCGUUCCGCUAUCCUUCGCCCGAGGGUCCCGUUGGUCUCGAGGUCCAGGUGUAAUAGCCCUACCCUACAGUCCGCUGGCCAGCGCGGCCCGGCAAAUUGUUGUUACACGGUGGAACAUUGGCAGGAGGUUGCUUGCUCGCUUGCCUCAUGCUAGGUGUCCUCAAGGUCUAGCAUCCGUAGCUGCCUCAGGGGGUGCCACUUCUCCCAUCAGCGUUGACUAGUCCUCCGUUUUAUUUAGCGUUGCUGCGUUCCUGUGCUACCCUGCCAGUCUCCGUUGGACCAGUGUCUUGUCAUGCUAUGCUACAGUUCCGUGCCUAUCCCUGUGCGUGGUCCUAGCGCCCCGUCUCACCAAAGCCUGAGUGUUCACAUCAGAUGUCUCGGUUCCGAGAACUGUCCCCCGCAGCCACCCAGUACAAGUACCUUCCCCCAGCUCGAUGCUCUGAGUGCGGCCAGUGACGAGCUAGUCAAGGACUCUGUCUCAGAACGUAUGGCGCAAAAAUUCCCCUCACGGUGCAGGUGCACCAGCACCCAUUCUACAGGCCACCCCCGCUAUCUACAUCACCACAGCCGCCGCCUCCACCUCCCCAACCUCUCUGUCUCCUGAUGCCUGACCGCCGGCCAGAGGAUGCACGCUGUGUCAUCCGCAGACGUCGGGCGCAGCGGACACAGCGGCAAGUCCGAUCGGCCGCCUACAUCGCUCGGGCUAGCCGCCAUGCCGCUGAUCGGCGGGCACGAAGGCGCACUGGGCAUCCACCUCUCCAGCCCACCCCC